AUCCUGGCUCAGAUUGAACGCUGGCGGCAUGCUUUACACAUGCAAGUCGAACGGUAACAGCACUUCGGUGGCUGACGAGUGGCGAACGGGUGAGUAAUGUAUCGGAACGUGCCCAGUAGUGGGGGAUAACUACUCGAAAGAGUGGCUAAUACCGCAUGAGAUCUCUGGAUGAAAGCGGGGGACCGUAAGGCCUCGCGCUACUGGAGCGGCCGAUAUCAGAUUAGGUAGUUGGUGGGGUAAAGGCCUACCAAGCCUGCGAUCUGUAGCUGGUCUGAGAGGACGACCAGCCACACUGGGACUGAGACACGGCCCAGACUCCUACGGGAGGCAGCAGUGGGGAAUUUUGGACAAUGGGCGCAAGCCUGAUCCAGCAAUGCCGCGUGCAGGACGAAGGCCUUCGGGUUGUAAACUGCUUUUGUACGGAACGAAAAGCCUUCUUCUAAUACAGGAGGGUCAUGACGGUACCGUAAGAAUAAGCACCAGCUAACUACGUGCCAGCAGCCGCGGUAAUACGUAGGGUGCAAGCGUUAAUCGGAAUUACUGGGCGUAAAGCGUGCGCAGGCGGUUGCGUAAGACACGUGUGUGAAACAUCCCC
rnacentral:rRNA from 1 species